UACGGGGGGGGCGAGCGUUGUUCGGAAUUACUGGGCGUAAAGGGCGCGUAGGCGGCCUUCUAAGUCGAACGUGAAAUCCCCGGGCUCAACCCGGGAACUGCGUCCGAUACUGGAAGGCUUGAAUCCGGGAGAGGGAUGCGGAAUUCCAGGUGUAGCGGUGAAAUGCGUAGAUAUCUGGAGGAACACCGGUGGCGAAGGCGGCAUCCUGGACCGGCAUUGACGCUGAGGCGCGAAAGCCAGGGGAGCAAACGGG
rnacentral:rRNA from 1 species